UACAGAGGUCCCAAGCGUUGUUCGGAUUCACUGGGCGUAAAGGGUGCGCAGGUGGGCUGGUAAGUUCGAUGUGAAAGCCCCGGGCUUAACCCGGGAAUGGCAUUGGAUACUACUGGUCUGGAGGAUCGGAGGGGGGACUGGAAUUCUUGGUGUAGCAGUGAAAUGCGUAGAUAUCAAGAGGAACACCAGUGGCGAAGGCGAGUCCCUGGACGAUACCUGACACUGAGGCACGAAAGCCAAGGGAGCAAACAGG
rnacentral:rRNA from 2 species